ensembl:lncRNA
CGCUGGUAUGUAUUUUGAACGCGUUUCAUUGCGCGCUCACGUGUAUCACCUUCACUCGCGCAGCGUGUGCGGAGUCUCGUACCUGUGCGCCAUGUUUGGGCAGUUUGGAUGCAAACAAAACAAUGGAUUAUUUACCAAGAUAUAUGAAUGUAUGAACUUAUUUCGAUAAAACACUUCCGAGUUUUUACUCUGCAGAAAACUGACGAGCAACCCAACCCACCAACAGACGAGGAAGAUGAGGAUGAUAAUCACAGUGGUCCAGCAUAUACAAAGAGAGUGGUUUGUUUGUAUUUUUACCUUCCACGUUCUUAUUUUUGUUAAUGCAGUUGCAAUAAGAAAACGUAUUUUUUUCCCCCAUAUUUCUUAAAGUAUGUAAGAGUGAAGAUUUGUUUAAGUGGGUCGUUAUUUUCAAAUAACCUCAACUAAAUGCAUUAGCUAGUUUCAGCUAUUUUUAUGAUGAGAAUGUACUGUAGUCCUACAUGCAUCAGUUUGUCUGAGAUCAUCUGCAAUAUCUCUGUCCUGCUUUUACAGAUGCUAAAUAUAAGCAGACUAUACAGAUGCUCAUCUCUGCCAAAACACACGUGACUACAACACAAACACAGCAUCACAGUUCAUCACUUUACUUGGUACUUCACUCAGGAUGUAAAGACACACAGGAGCAACUGAUUAUUUCUCUUAACAUGAUACAGAUUUCUUUUAAUAUUUCUAUGUUUUGUAGUAACCAACAGAAGCUGAAGGAAUGGCAAGGUGCUUUGGGGACAAUGAGAAAAACUCAAAAGAAGAUACUUUGAAGAAUGCUGGUAAUCAAACCCAACAAGUUUGUCAGGUGCAGAAAUAAAAGCUCCCAAACAAAGAUGUCA